UCCAAUUUUAUUAAUAACCAACAUUUUUAUUAGGGCAGUUACAGUUGUACAAACUGUACAUUAUACAUUUUGGUUUCAAGGAUUAUAAAUUAAGGAACCCACCAGUAGGGAGGUGGUUUUUUUUUUUUUCACAGAAAGAAACUUUAAAUAAACAAAGUCAUGUUUUAUUAAGUACAUUGGCAGACUUCACGUGCUGUCCAAAAUGUAGAGUACAGUAUAACAACCCAUUAGAAAGAUCCUUCAUGGAAAAUACAACUGUGCACAUUUUAGAAAAAUACCCACAAUUUGAGCAUUGUUUUAAAAAAGCUUAUAAAUCAUAUAUAUUUAUAAAUGUAGCCAACAAGCUCACUUCAUAAACAUCUUUUAGUUCUCUGUUGCCCAUUAUUUUCAAAGCAUUACACAUUUAAAUAAACACUUAAUAAUAUUAAAUAGUCUAUUUUCUUAAAAAACAACAACAACAACAACAACAACAACAAAAACAAAAAACCCAGCCUUCCCAGCAUAAGGAGCUACAGGGGAGGAAGGGGCAGGGAGACUGUGGGGACGACAGAGGAACUUAGCUUGCUCUUGAGUAAAAAUGGACUCCCUAAAUUUAAAAGUCAAAGCAAAAUGUAAAAAAUAAAUAUACAAGUUGUAAUUUGAUUUUUAUUUGCUCUCUUUCUGCCUUCUUCCUUAAUCCAUACUGGUCAUACCCUAAAGUCUCAAUAUAUCGCCCUUCUGGAGAAGCCACUGCUGGCUUACUAUCCAGAAGGUGAUGAAGCACUCAGUCCUCCCCUGUGCUGCCAGUGGAGUGACACGCACUGUCCCUUCUGCUCUGCAAAGGCUCCUAAGGGAGAGACUCGGCUGACACCAUGACACCAUGGACAAAAGUUAGGAAGACUUCCCCCUCCACCAGGUAAUGCCUUUAAGAGACUCAGACAUACCUUUCCUACCCUGAUUUCUUUUUAAAUAAUUAUUUUUUAUAAAGAUCAUGUAGUUUCCCUAAGUAAGCAUGCUUCUGAAUAAAUUAUUUAAUAGAAAAAAAUCAAUAUCAGAAUGAUAUAGGACAGCAAAAGACAAAUAUUUAAAAUAAAACCGUCUAAGUCUUUAAAAUUUAAUAUAGAAUUACAAAACAACUUUGAAAAACAUUGAAGGCAGAGAAGGGGCAGUGACUUAACAAAGCUUAAACACCUGAAGGCAUUCAACCAAAAUUCGCGUUGGGGGUGGGGUGGAGAAAGAGAAGAGUAGCUAUUAAUAGAUCUUGCUUAACUUUCAUGGGAAUUAAUAGAGCCACUGACAAGAUUUUAUUUGGUUGUAACGUACGUCAGCAAUGAAACUGAACCCGUAACCACUGAUUACUGCAAUCCAAGCAACAUUUUGACUUCACUUCUUAGUAUUCGGUUGUCUGUCCUUCAGCUUUUAAAACUUAACACCUCCUGAGUGCAUCAACAACUCACCUCAAUGAUGUUAAAAAUAUUUAAAAUUAAAUUAUUUCUUUGGAAGGUAUAAUACCAUCAGAUCACUAUAUUUUAAAGAUAAGUAACCCUUUAUUGGUUUAAAAAGAAUAAACAACAUGAAAACAAUGCAUUGCUAUUAAAAUAAACACUAUAUAUACAUACAUACUAGUCUUUUGUUGCUGCUUUUCCAGUGUGUUCUCAUCCAGCCAGGACUGCAGGUGGAAGAUGACAUACAUCAUAUUUAAAUCAACAGCAGAAAUGAGCAGAGUCGUGCACAAGCAAAUGAAACAUUCCCUUCCAGAACAUUCCAGGAGAUGUUAAAGCAGCAGGUCACAGCAGAAGACUGCUGAGUGACGGUGCUACCUACUUCUAAUGAGAUAGGAGUGAAUGUUGGAGCCACGCCCACCGCAACACAAUCCUCAGACUGCAUUCCUCUGGCAGUCCUCUCUCUCCAGCUCCCUACUAAAAAAACGUCAGAUGGUAAAAUAGUAAGGCAGCUGUUGACUUCUAUCAAAAAAAAAAAAAAAAAUCUGCAGGUCCAUACAUUUCCAGUUUAGUCACAUUCUGCUAGGACAGAUGGAGUAGCCAACGUCGAGAACUUCGCCGGAUGGGGCUGCUUCAGCAGAGUUUUAAAAAGUUUUAAAAAGAAUCAUUAUUAAGUUUUGCUUUUCACCAUGCUGGGUGCUUCAGCUCUCAGAGGACCCCAAAGACACAAAGCAUUGCUGGGGGACGUGAAAGGUCCUCUGGCUGAAUUUUCCAAGUUUCAUCUCUCUUGUGAUCCCAUCCCGAUCUAAGCGUCCUUGCCUGUGUCUGAGUCGGACUGGGAUGUGGACACCAAGGCAGAACUGUGGGCUAACUCUACUAGUUGUCAUGACUUCACUGAUGAGUCGAAACAGUUAUAGCAGUUAAGUAACCAUACUGAGUCACAUUCAAAAUUAAAGUGAGGGACAAUGCCAUUGUUUAAAAGAAAUUGUAAAUUGGAAUUAGAGAAAACGAUAUUACUAUGAUUAUGUGUAGAAAUUAAGGCUAUGCUUAC
rnacentral:lncRNA from 1 species